CGAGACCUCAGGUCAGGCGGGGCUACCCGCUGAGUUAAAGCCCAUAUCAAAA
rnacentral:rRNA from 1 species